AUUUAAAAUAAGCAAACAAUCUAAUUGAAUUGAAUUCUUAGAAUCGAAUUAUCCAAUAAUUCGAUUUUCCAAACUAUUUGUUGGCUAACUAUCUAAUAUUAUCUCAAACAUCUACAGUAAAACGGAAAAAUUGGAAAAAGAUCAAAUUAUAGUUUGUUCGUACUCUUUUAUUGCCUAAAAUAUCUUUCAUUCAUUCAUUCAUUCAUUUGGAUCGUACAUAAAUACACCCACUUAUUGGAUGUUGCCUGUUAUCAUCAUUGUGUUGUUUUCAUCAUUAUCAUCAUCAUUUAUAUUGGAUUGAUAAAUGUGGUUCCAAUAUGCUCAUUCUAUAGCGGAUGAAAACGUGAUUAACGUGAUGGAAGCAUCUGGAUACAAAAAAAAAAAAAAUUUUUGCCUAAAAGAGUCGUGAAAGAGCAUGAGAUCUAUAGCAAUAAUGAAUUUGACAACAAAUAAUAUUGACUUUGUUAUAAUUGCUACAACAACCCAUAAUCAUCAUCAACGAUGGCGACGACACCAAUUUUGAUUUGAUUACAGACGGCUGUUUCAUGUUAUCACAUUAAUAGAUAUUAUUAUUAUUAUUAUUGCAUCGUAUUGAUUAUGGUGUUGAUGAUGCCAUGGAAAAAAAAUUAUUCAAUGAAUGAUUGUCAUUGUAAUAAUUUGACAAAUUGGAAAACAAAUCGACCGAUUUUAAUGUUACUAUUCAACAUAUCGAUUAUUAUUGUUCACUGAAUUCUGAAUUUGAUUCAAAGAUAAUUUCAAAUGUUAAUGACAAUGGACAAUUUUCUUCCCAUUUCACACGAGAGAACGAUUUUAUUUAAUUAGUGUACUAAAAAUUUUUCCAUUUCAACUAAACUUGUCAUCAUCUUCAUAAUUAAUCUGUUCUCGAAUUUUUACUCUAGUGAAAACUAAAAUUCGUCUACUUAUAUACAUCAUUUAAAAUGUCAACGGACA